rnacentral:rRNA from 1 species
CUUGCUAGGUGGAUUAGUGGCGCACGGGUGAGUAAUAUAUAGAUAACGUGCCUCUUAGUCUGGGAUAGCCAUUGGAAACGAUGAUUAAUACUAGAUAUUCCUUCUAACAAUAAUGUUAGUCGGGAAAGUUUUUCGCUAAGAGAUCGGUCUAUAUCCCAUCAGCUAGUUGGUAGUGUAAGAGACUACCAGGCAAUGACGGGUAGCGGGUUUGAGAGGAUGAUCCGCCACACUGGUACUGAGACACGGACCAGACUCCUACGGGAGGCAGCAGUGAGGAAUAUUGCACAAUGGAGGAAACUCUGAUGCAGCAACGCCGCGUGGAGGAUGACGCAUUUCGGUGUGUAAACUCCUUUUAUAUGUCAAGAAAAUGACGGUAGCAUAUGAAUAAGCACCGGCUAACUCCGUGCCAGCAGCCGCGGUAAUACGGAGGGUGCAAGCGUUAUUCGGAAUCACUGGGCGUAAAGGACGCGUAGGCGGGAUGC